UACGUAGGGUGCGAGCGUUUGUCCGGAAUUAUUGGGCGUAAAGAGCUCGUAGGCGGUGUGUCACGUCGGCCGUGAAAACCUGCAGCUUAACUGUGGGCGUGCAGUCGAUACGGGCAUCACUGGAGUUCGGCAGGGGAGACUGGAAUCCUGGUGUAGCGGUGAAAUGCGCAGAUAUCAGGAGGAACACCGGUGGCGAAGGCGGGUCUCUGGGCCGAUACUGACGCUGGAGGAGCGAAAGCGUGGGGAGCAAACAGG
rnacentral:rRNA from 1 species